rnacentral:rRNA from 1 species
UACGUAGGGUGCAAGCGUUGUCCGGAAUUAUUGGGCGUAAAGAGCUCGUAGGCGGUUUGUCGCGUCGAAUGUGAAAUCCCAGGGCUCAACCCUGGGGCUGCUCCCGAAACUGUUCGCCUAGGGACUGGUAGAGGCGGGUAGAAUUCCCGGUGUAGCGGUGGAAUGCGUAGAGAUCGGGAAGAAUACCUGUGGCGAAGGCGGUCAGCUGGGCCAGGUCCGACGCUGAGGCGCGAAAGCGUGGGGAGCAAACAGG